rnacentral:rRNA from 1 species
GACAGAGGUCUCAAGCGUUAGGCGGAAUCACUGGGCUUAAAGCGUGUGUAGGCGGAUUCCUAAGUACCUUGUGAAAUCCCCGGGCUUAACCCGGGAACUGCUUGGUAUACUGGGUGUCUUGAGCCAACUAGGUGCGACCGGAACAAACGGUGGAGCGGUGAAAUGCGUAGAUAUCGUUUGGAACGCCAAUGGUGAAAACAGGUCGCUGGGGUUGUGCUGACGCUGAGACACGAAAGCCAGGGGAGCGAACGGG